rnacentral:other from 1 species
GCAACCCUGCGGUGUACGUGAUGCGCUUCUGGCGUUUGAGCCAACAUUUGUAAAUCGGGAGCUGACUUCUGCUGAGAGCGCGCCCACUCCCUCGGGAGACCGGACCACUCGACGAGUAGGUUCCCACCUGCGAAAGCGGGUUCACAACCCUGUUCGCACACGGCACGGCGGGAUUGCU